UACGUAGGUGGCAAGCGUUGUCCGGAUUUACUGGGCGUAAAGCGCACGUAGGCGGAUUGUUAAGUCAGAGGUGAAAUCCCGGAGCUCAACUUCGGAACUGCCUUUGAUACUGGCAAUCUCGAGUCCGGAAGAGGUUAGUGGAAUUCCCAGUGUAGAGGUGAAAUUCGUAGAUAUUGGGAAGAACACCAGUGGCGAAGGCGGCUAACUGGUCCGGUACUGACGCUGAGGUGCGAAAGCGUGGGGAGCAAACAGGG
rnacentral:rRNA from 1 species